rnacentral:rRNA from 1 species
AGAGUUUGAUCAUGGCUCAGAAUCAACGCUGGCGGCGUGCCUAACACAUGCAAGUCGAGCGAGAAAAGGGGAGCAAUCCCCUGAGUACAGCGGCGCACGGGUGAGUAACACGUGGGUAAUCUGCCCUGGAGUGGGGAAUAACACCGGGAAACCGGUGCUAAUACCGCAUACGAUCACAGAGUCUGCGGAUUUUGUGAUGAAAGGAGCAAUUCGCUCUAGGAGGAGCCCGCGGCUGAUUAGCUAGUUGGUGAGGUAAUGGCUCACCAAGGCAACGAUCAGUAUCCGGUCUGAGAGGACGGUCGGACACACUGGAACUGAGACACGGUCCAGACUCCUACGGGAGGCAGCAGUGGGGAAUUUUUGGCAAUGGGGGCAACCCUGACCAAGCAACGCCGCGUGGGUGAUGAAGUCUCUUGGGACGUAAAACCCUUUCGACGGGGACGAAAGCCGCAAGGUUUGACGGUACCCGUAGAAGAAGCCCCGGCUAACUCCGUGCCAGCAGCCGCGGUAAUACGGGGGGGGCAAGCGUUGUUCGGAAUUACUGGGCGUAAAGGGCGCGUAGGCGGUUCGCUAAGUCGGAUGUGAAAACUCUGGGCUCAACCCAGAGCCUGCAUCCGAAACUGGCGGGCUAGAGUUCUGGAGGGGGUAGCGGAAUUCCUGGUGUAGCGGUGAAAUGCGUAGAUAUCAGGAGGAACACCGGUGGCGAAGGCGGCUACCUGGACAGAAACUGACGCUGAGGCGCGAAAGCUAGGGGAGCAAACAGGAUUAGAUACCCUAGUAGUCC